CACGUACGCAACCUUCCUUUAAGUGUGGGAUAGCCCAGGGAAACUUGGAUUAAUACCACGUAAUAUAAUCGGGUGGCAUCAUUUGAUUAUUAUAGCUCCGGCGCUUAAAGAUGGGCGUGCGCCUGAUUAGGUAGUUGGCGGGGUAACGGCCCACCAAGCCUUCGAUCAGUAACUGGUGUGAGAGCACGACCAGUCACACGGGCACUGAGACACGGGCCCGACUCCUACGGGAGGCAGCAGUAAGGAAUAUUGGUCAAUGGACGCAAGUCUGAACCAGCCAUGCCGCGUGGAGGAUGAAGGUCCUCUGGAUUGUAAACUUCUUUUAUCUGGGAAGAAACCUGUCUUUUCUUGGGCAGCUGACGGUACCAGAUGAAUAAGCACCGGCUAACUCCGUGCCAGC
rnacentral:rRNA from 1 species